GAUUUAUUCAGUUUCAGGAAUAAUACAAAAACACAGAGUCAAGAACGAACAAUCUGCCUGUAAUGCAUUGGCGAAUACGAGAAGUUACACCUCGCUGCAGCAAGCAGUAAGGGGCGGGGAAGGACCUUUUUUUGUUUUAUUAGACAAGAUCUUUAUUUAUAAAUACAACGAAAAACUAGAAAGUGUGCAUUUUUAGGCACAAGCCAGAGGUGGAAGCUCGAGGAGCGGAAGGAGAACCGAGUGAACGUAUCAAACAAACGAAGGCGGAAGGAUUUGAUUUUGGUGGAUCGCAUAAACUGUACAUUGACUGUAGCAACAUGGCUUCUACAUCAGGAGUUAAUAGUGGAAAUGAGAUGGAAUGGAUGAUAUAAUUCCUUCAUCUAUAUCAAUAUUAGUGUACAAACUGUUGAUGUCAAUUGUAAAAAAAAAUAGAAUCCUGAGUUGGAGACGAUGGGCCUGCCGGGAGGGAUUUCAUGAGGUUUGCUCCACUUUUCCGGUUCUUUAUGGAUCUUUGGGAGCAAAUAAAACCUCCUGGCUCUGGGUUCGGAGGAGCCACGCAGGGAGAAGACCAACGGAGCAGACAGCAGCCAGGUGUGGCAGAACGAUGGGAGGGUCGCAAAAGAGAUCGGCUGUUUUAUGUGCAGCGGUUAGGGUUAGGUGGCGAGAGAGGCGCACGGAGUGGACCGCAGGUUCCAGAUGUAGUGGAGGCAAACCAAAGGGUUCGUCCUCCGGGUUCUGGCUGCCCUGAUUCCAAGUGGAGAACAAGUUUAUUUUGGACUGAGGACAUUUUUUAAGUAUUGUACAGAUUCUAGCAAAAGAGAACAGAACUUUUUAUUCCUUUGGUGUCUGCUGGGAAUAAAAAUUGUUUAAAUCUAA